rnacentral:lncRNA from 1 species
UCAGAUUAAAUUUCAAAUACGACAUGACUACGAAAUGGUUGCUGAUUUAUUAGCCGUCCUAAAUCGUUUUGCAAAGAUACGAAUCAUAAAAUUUUUUAUCUUGUUAUAAAAAUUUCGUCAUCGCUCAAAUUUAUUUAUUUUAUUAUAUAUUUAUAUACGUAAUAUUUAUCUUUUAUUCGUGCAAAGCCUUGAAAAUCAAUGAAGAAUUUCUUCAUCAAUCAAGUGUCCGCCCUUAAUAUAAAAUAAUACUUCCUCUGUCCCAUUUUAUAUGUUGUUAUUUGAUCAAACACGGAGUUUAAGAAAUAAGAGAAGACUUGGUAAAAUUUAUUAAAUUAUCCUUUAUAAAAAAAUGUGUCAAUAUUUUUUUUAAUUAAAUGAGUCCAAUAAGGAUAAAAAAAUAAUUGUACCUUUAAAAAGUUGUCGAAUAAGAAAAGGCAACAUUUAUUUUGAAACGAAUUAAAAAAAAAAUUAUGACACAUAAUUUGAGACGGAGGAUUGAUAAAACAAAGUGCAUCUUUGUCGAUCAAGUGUCCGCCAUUAAUAUAAAAUAAUAACUUGAUAAAACAAAAUCUAUCUUUAUAAUGGGGUGACCUCAAAUAUUAAAAAAUAAUUUCAUUGAUCAUGUGUGCAAUAAAAAUGUCCAAAAAUAAUCUCAAAAUCAUCCAAGGCAUAGCGUAGCAAACCUAUCCAUACAUACAGUAAAUAGCAAUAUUAUAUCAGUGACAGAUACAGUGAAGUAGCAACAUCGUAUCAGUGACAGCAAAGGCAAAACAAAGAGCAAAAUAAUAAUGAAAUAUCAAUGAACAAGAUCCAACAAAGAAGAAAACAAUAAAACUAAAUGAUUAUAGUAAUUGGAGAAGGAAAAAGUCCUAAACAGUGAUGGUGCUGAUGUUGUUUUAACGGCAUUCGCCGGAGCAACGUCUGGGAUCGCAAAAGUCCGACCAGAUCUGGCCAUGUUGGUGACACAGUGGAGAUAAAAUGAAAAAGAUAGCGGUGGCGGCGGUUUCUUCGCCGGUUGUCAACUCCGACGAAGAAACCACGAAAAGGGGAAAAGGAAAGGGGAAAAGGCGGCGGCACUGGUGUACUUAGCGGCUGGACACCCCGCCGGUGACCAAUUCUGGCGUGGCGGAAAAGGGGAAAGGGAAGAGGGACGCUGCUGGCUGUUCGUCUUACCGCCGGUGGAGCUCCGAUGAUGGUUCAUGGAGAUGAUGGGGAGGAGAGGGCGGUGAUAAUGGUGUUUUAUCGGCGGCGCAGCUCGCCGGAGCAGCGGCGUCGUUGGUUGGUGGUUUCUAGAUAGAAAAAGGAGAGAGAAGAGAGAAUGUAGAGAGAGAUUUGAUUUGUACGUGUUUAUGCGUGUGUUUUUAGAGAGAGAGAAAAAUACUACCUCCGUCUUAUUUUAUGUGUCACCAUUUAACUGGACACGGAGUUUAAAGAAAUAAGAAAAGAUUUGGUAAUGUUUAUCUUUAUCAAAAAAUAUGCUAGUAUCUUUUUUUUUAAUUAAAUGAGAUCAAUAAGGAUAAAAAUGAAAUUGUAUCUUUAAAUAAUUAUCAAAUAAAAAAAAUGACAUUCUUUUUGGGACGAACUAAAAAAAAAUGAUGUCAUAUAAAAUGGGACGGAGGGAAGAUUUUGUGCAGAUAUGGAGUGUGUGUGGGGAUGUGGAGUGUGUGUAUUUUCGUGGAUGAAGUAUUUAGGGCCUGUUUAGCUAUGAAAUUUUUUUCCUUUUUUUCGAAAAAUUUUUGAAAUUGAAAAUUAUGAUGUUUGAUCAUGAAAAUUUAAAAAAUAAUUUCGAAAAAAUUUUCUGAGAAGUAAAAAUAG